GAUGAACGCUGGCGGCGUGCUUAACACAUGCAAGUCGAACGAGAAGUGAAGACGGAACCCUUCGGGCGGAAGGCUUUAUUUCGAGUGGCGGACGGGUGAGUAACGCGUGGGUAACCUGCCUCAUACAGGGGGAUAACAGUUGGAAACGACUGUUAAUACCGCAUAAGACCACAGCACCGCAUGGUGCGGGGGUAAAAACUCCGGUGGUAUGAGAUGGACCCGCGUUCGAUUAGCCAGUUGGCGGGGUAACGGCCCACCAAAGCGACGAUCGAUAGCCGAUCUGAGAGGAUGACCGGCCACAUUGGGACUGAGACACGGCCCAAACUCCUACGGGAGGCAGCAGUGGGGAAUAUUGCACAAUGGGGGAAACCCUGAUGCAGCGACGCCGCGUGAGUGAAGAAGUAUUUCGGUAUGUAAAGCUCUAUCAGCAGGGAAGAAAAUGACGGUACCUGAGGAAGAAGCCCCGGCUAACUACGUG
rnacentral:rRNA from 1 species